UUCCACAACUUGGAGGACUCAACAGUGAGGCACAGAACCACUCCUGGUGCUUCUCCUGGGAGUCACUGAGCUGGAACCACCGCCCAAAGGACACCUGCUCUUAUGGCCAUUUAUGGGAACCGGGGUCCCGGGAUGGUCCCACCUUGGUUGGAACGUCCAUCCCUGCUAACUAGUGGUAAUGAGUGAGGGCCGCUCCGAAACUUGUCAGGAAUAAGGAGAACGUCAUGUGACCCAAGACAGUUCUCGUGCCAGAUGGCAGAGCCUAGCUUGUUAGAGCCAACAGGCCCAGGCUCUAACCCUCAUGACUGGCAACACAGGAAGCCCAGAAGUCAUGGAUGCCACCCUCCUUGCUCCUGCCCUCUGUGAAUCUCAGCUAUCCCUGGCCUCAGAUGUCUUCACACUGAAGGAAAAAUACAACUGCCAAGAGGUGGGGACAGUGCUGCCCUCGGGCGUUUCAAAAGAUGCCACUUGUUGUUUUCAGUGAGCUCAGAUGCUGGCUCGCAGCAGCCUUGGCUUCCUGUCACCAUGAGCUCUGUUUAGUGUCUCAGCUGGACUUGGCUGAGGGGGAGGCUGCAAAGGCCAUGCUCUCUGCUGUCCUGUGUGGGGCCCUUCUGCAGGCUUGGCAGCCUCUUCCUGCUUCUCCUGGAAGCUCUCAGCAGGGGGAGCUGGCUCCAUCAGCCACAGCCUGGAAAGCAGGCCUGAGCACAUGGAGGACCAGCCUGCUGGGCUGGACUUUUCUGACCUGGCUCAGAUCUUUUUUGUUAUUUUACUCAUCUGACAUGGAGAUGGGCUGUUACAUGUAACUGUUUGGUGUGAUAGAAGUUGCCUAUCUUUGGGAGGUUUUCCUUGUAAAUUCACUAAUUAAAAAUACCUUUUGCA